AGCCACUCAGAUCGCUUCUUGUUGGUAUGUGUAGCGGCAGUGGCCGCCGGCGGAGCAGUCUGAGCCCGACGAUGAGGCCGGGGACGGGAGCUGAGCGUGGAGGCCUCAUGAUGGGGCACCCUGGCAUGCAUUAUGCCCCAAUGGGAAUGCACCCUAUGGGUCAGAGAGCGAAUAUGCCUCCUGUACCUCAUGGAAUGAUGCCGCAGAUGAUGCCCCCUAUGGGAGGGCCACCAAUGGGACAAAAAGAUAAAAUAAAACAAUUUGCUACUGCCAGAUGCUUCUCUCUUUU
rnacentral:lncRNA from 1 species